CGGCUCGCAGACAGCUCGCGCGCCUCCGCAAGCCAGGCACAGGGCCCGGCCCUUCAGCAGCCGACGGCGGCGCCUAACUCCCGCGUACUGAAAAAGCAACGGAUCGAUGGCAGUUUUAUCCUGAGGCCUUGUAGGCGGAAUAUUCAGUGUCAGCGGGGAGAGAUUGGAGAGACGGGCCGGAGCCGCGCUUAACUGGCGCUGUUUCAUCGGCGGCUGGAAGGUAUCGACAGGCGCCACUCGAGGCCGACAGCUGGAAGCGAGUGUCCAGAGAGAGGGAGAGAGGGGUGGUGGAGAUAAGGGCGGCCCGGAAAGAAUACCGAGGGCAUCAACAGCGUGUGGCGGCCAGCAUGCUGGCCAGAGGCGACGCGACGCCGGUGUCAGCCGCGGUGCGUGAGUGCGUGAGGCGCGCGCGGCCGGUGCGUGAGCGGGCCACCUGCUGAGCGGCGAGGCGCGACACGCGGCCCGGCCAGACAUGGACGCCAGCGCCAGCGCCGGCGGCAAUGCGACCGCCCCCAGCCUGUUGCCCGCCGACGGCGCUGACAACCUCACGGCGGACGCCGGCGCCGCCAACGACACCCAGGAGGUCAUCAACUCCUUCUACUUC